rnacentral:lncRNA from 1 species
CACAUUGCACAAAAUUUUAUUUAAAAGUUGUAUAAAUAAACUAGUACUCAUCCGUUGUUGGCCAAAGUUUUGUUUCAUUACAAUCAAUUCAUUACAUUUAAAAUAGGGACUUCACACAACCUAACUUUUCCAUCUCCCUAAUUCUAAUUACAAAUUUUUCCUAUUUAAACAUCUUCUUGCACAAAGAUGGUUCCAAAGAAAUUCCAAAGUAGUAAAAUCAAGGAAACCCAUAUGAUUAUCCAUAGAAUCGAUGACCAGGAUUCAAAUCAGUCCAAGAAGUUAUCAACAUAGCCGGGCGAUGACAAUGACAGUGAUGAACUGCGGCCAUUUAAGUUGACACAAUUCAACAUCACUAUCACAAUGGGCAACCUGCACAACGGAGAAACAAUUAUUUUUCUUCUUAAAAGGUCUAGAGACUCUGGACCAGAAAACUGGAUGCAUCUUCACACACUGUUUGCCUUUCAAAUUCGCAGCAAGUAUUCCAUGGAUAUGCCUUUGGGUUUUCAAGUAUAGUUUUCCGAAGCUUUGGUUUUACUAUAACCAGCAUAUAUUAAUAUAUGAUAUGAUGUUGGAGUAGUAGAUUUCUACAUCAAACAGAAGAAUGAAUUGGAAGACAGAAACUAACCUACCUAACAUACCAUGGGCAGGCCAUCAAUACAUCAAAAGGAAAGGAUAUAGCAAUCUACACCAAAAAUUUUAAUAUUAAGUUGGGAACCUAGCAACUAGCUAGCCCAAACAGAGGCGGCAACUGGUGUGCAAAGUUUGAUGCCUAUAGUUCAUGCAAAAUACUACAAAUACACAGUGUGUGCGCGAUGCGUUGGAGCAAAAAUUUACAAGCAAUAACAUAGUCAACAAGAAUGUUUAGGACUGAAAUCUAUUGAAGAUACAAAAAGAAGUCAAGUUCUACACUCCACAAACGAUGUUUGAGCUGCCAGUAAUUGUGUACAAUGUACAAGCUAAUACAGAUUCUCAAGUGCAUUAGAGUCACCUGUGCAGCCACAGUUGGUUUAAUGAAUAUACAUGGACUUGAUGUAUAGUAGUAGGUAUGGUAGUUGGUUAGUUAUGUAGUACAAUAACAGUAGGUGGAUCAUAGUAUUCUGUUGGUUAGUUAGGUGAAGGUUUGAAUAUUAGUUGAGUUUUCCAUUGUAUAAAUAGGAUUUCUUUCCAAUUCACAAUGUAAUAAAUUCAUAUGCAAAUCUAUAGAUUAUUGGGUUUCUGUCUCCUCUUCUACAUAUGCUUUCUUGACUCUAUAAUUCUAGCCAAAACCUUUAUGUUAAUGAGGGGCACUGGUGAUACUUUUAUAAAAAAGAAUUUUGUAAAAAAAAGCAUUCAAUUUUGUGAGCUUAUUCUGGAUUUUGAGAUUAGAUAAAUCUGACAGUAACACAUCUGCAUCUGAAUUUUGUAUAAAAAAAAUUGUAGGACGCUUUAUGGAAAUUUCACCCAAAAAGCUAACUAAGUUACAUUUUCCCUAUCAAACAUGUUGUGUAGGACGCUUACGCGAAGGUUGUUACAAAAAGCCAAUCAAUUUGUUUCAGAGUAAUUUAGGGCGAAAAGCCAAUUUAGGGGAGAAUAGGAAAGUACUCUUACUUGGCAGCGAAGGUUGUUCUUCUGUAACAAAUUGAAAUCCCUAAAAUCUUGAAGAUGUUUGAAAAAUAGAACUCCCAAAUUUAAAUCCCUAAAGUUGGAGAAGGAACGCCUUUCUCUCUUACCUCUUUUGCGAUUAUAGGGCUCUCUCUUUUGAAGAUUUUAGGCCUCGAAGGUUGCUCUCUCUGAUGCCUUUCUCGAUGGAAGAUUUGGAGAAAGUUUUCUUCAGAAGGGAAUGAAAAGUUGGAGAAGAAACAAGGGGCUCAGCCAAAACACUGAACUCGCGAGGAG